GAUGAACACUAGCUACAGGCUUAACACAUGCAAGUCGAGGGGAAACGACAUCGAAAGCUUGCUUUUGAUGGGCGUCGACCGGCGCACGGGUGAGUAACGCGUAUCCAACCUGCCCAUCACUUGGGAAUAACCUUGCGAAAGUAAGACUAAUACCCAAUGACAUCCCACGAAGACAUCUGAAUGGGAUUAAAGAUUUAUCGGUGAUGGAUGGGGAUGCGUCUGAUUAGCUUGUUGGCGGGGUAACGGCCCACCAAGGCAACGAUCAGUAGGGGUUCUGAGAGGAAGGUCCCCCACAUUGGAACUGAGACACGGUCCAAACUCCUACGGGAGGCAGCAGUGAGGAAUAUUGGUCAAUGGGCGAGAGCCUGAACCAGCCAAGUAGCGUGCAGGAUGACGGCCCUAUGGGUUGUAAACUGCCUUUAUAAGGGAAUAAAGUGGGUCUCGUGAGACUUUUUGCAUGUACCUUAUGAAUAAGGACCGGCUAAUUCCGUG
rnacentral:rRNA from 1 species